UGCCUAUCUGUACAUGUCUGCGAGGGUUUU
rnacentral:piRNA from 1 species